CUCAGACAUGCUGGCCCUCAAGUUGGUCAGAGAUCUGAUGAAUAUGGCAUUUUAACAUGUGUAAGUUUAUUACAACAGAAAGUCCCAAAAUCCCGAGAAGAUUUGGGCACAACGACAGAUGGCUGUAACUCUGGAUUUGAAGCAGUCUCUCAUCUGUGCCUAGCUGGACCGCCUCUGCUCAUGAUGUCAUAAGAUCACAGGAGCCAGGGACACUGCCUAGGGUCAGCUAUGGACUGCAAGCUGAAAUCUGGACUUCCUGGAAACUGACAUGGUUGCUCCCUGCCUCUUCGGGUGGAUCAACUAACCAGAUGCUUGUGACUGCCCCAUUGCCCAGCCUUUGACUGGCAUUUCGGCCUCCCUAGCCCCUGAUGCCAAUGGUCCAAUUGUCAUAACUGAAGAAGCUCCAGAAGAUGGAUCUUCACCAAAAUCCCACCUAGCAGGCUGAAAUGUUAAGUCAAAAGGGGCUGGCUCCCUGACAUUAGCUAUUAUCUUGGGCAUCUGCUUAGCUGAAACGAAAACUAAUAUUGCAGUAACUGGACUAAAAGCCUAGAAAGACACUAGAGAAAAAAAAAGGAUAAUAGUUCUCUUUGGCUUACUACCCCUAUAUCCACCCUGAAGGGACCCCUACUCAUUUUGAUUUUUUUUUAUCUUUGGGCCUUGUAUUUUAAAUUGCUUGAUGGCUCGCAUAAAAAAAAAUGUUUGGUAGCAAUAUACUAAUGGUACUCAGAUCCCAUUAUAAAAAGAUAAAUCUACAGAAUACAAGGGGUCAUAUCUGGAAGACCCAAUGAUCAUGGUAAAGGAGGAAAUGAGAGACCAAAAGAUUAAAAAUCAGCAGUUGUUAUUAAAGUUUAAGGCCUGAACUAAGGCUAGCUAGGUAGAGCAGUCCAGUAAUGCCCUGAGGGGAAGGACCGUCCUACUGCAUUUUUUCCCACCCACUAGAGAUACAGUUGCUAGGAAACUAGGAAUCUGGUGUUCCUAGGGAGGGACACCAGACCAUUAAUGGUUUGGGGACCUUCCUAUAGCCAGUCAAUUCAAAAUGUAGCAUUUUGACCAAUAGAUGCUUGCCAGGCAGGAAUCACCCCUGCCUUGGGCAUGCUGGGAGGGACAAGAAUCUUUAAAUCACCCAAUUAACCUGAGCACGAGGCUCUCAGCUCUCACCGCUUCAGCGGAGGGGGGUGUGGGUCCAAACUGCAGCUUGUAAUGAUUUAUAAUAAAAAGAACCUCAUG